GACGAACGCUGGCGGCGUGCCUAACACAUGCAAGUCGAACGGGGUCCAUGAGAGCUUGCUCGCGGAAGACCUAGUGGCGAACGGGUGAGUAACACGUGAGAAACCUGCCUCGGAGUGGGGAAUAACUCGGGGAAACUCGAGCUAAUACCGCAUACCUUCAGAUCAUCGCAUGGUCGACUGAAGAAAGAAUUACGCUCUGAGAGGGUCUCGCGGCCUAUCAGCUUGUUGGUGGGGUAACGGACCACCAAGGCAACGACGGGUAGCUGGAUUGAGAGAUCGAUCAGCCACACUGAAGCUGAGACACGGUCCAGACUCCUACGGGAGGCAGCAGUGGGGAAUCUUGCGCAAUGGGCGAAAGCCUGACGCAGCAACGCCGCGUGCGGGAUGACGGCCUUCGUGGUUGUAAACCGCUUUCAGCAGGGACGAAAAUGACGGUACCUGCAGAAGAAGCCCCGGCUAACUACGUGCCAGCCGCCGCCGUAAUAC
rnacentral:rRNA from 1 species